UUUCUUAAAGAAAGCCAAGUGAGGAUGGAUAUGUUAAGGACGCGCCAUGUCUUAAGAUCAUCAGAGGAGUGACAGCUAGCGAGCAUGCUAACUUACCCGAGAUGACAGCUCAGACUACCAGCAGCGCUACACAUAGCUGGGCAUUAUAUUCCAGUGAUCAGGGUUACUGCAGUGCAGCGUCUGACUUCAUGAUCAGUGUUGCCUUUUCCUGGGGAUAUCCUUCACAAACACAGAGCCUGAGAGUGGGACGGGAACAGGAAAGCGUUCACUUGGAGGAGGGUGGGCUGUGGCGAAGAGGUUGAGCAAGUGGAGCUCCUGCCCUACAGCUGUUGUGGUUCAAGGGCAGGAAGCAGCUUGGUUCCCACACAAAGGCUCAACUCUUUCCCACGGUCAUAGAGCACGUGGUUUAAAAUUGGAUCCUGAAUGACCCACCCUCCCUAUUGAAACGUCACUGCAGUUCAGCCAUUGAGAUCCUGUUACACUGCCAAAGAUGUUCAAGGCAUUUGAAUGAGAGUCUAUUGACCUGGCAAAGACACAUUCAACAAAACCACAGAACCUACAGACAAGUUAAGUCAGGUUUUAGAGUUAAGAGACUAUGAAAUUAUGUUUUCAUGUGUUGAAUAUAGACAAGUUCCACCCUUGUUUCUCAUUGCAGAGCAUGCAAAAUUUGUCCGGGCAGUGCUCCAUCAAUUGUGAACAAUUGGAUAAUCUUUUGUGCACACGCAAGAUGUUGAAAUGUUUAUGAGUGUGAACAUCGGUGACAUUGGGUAGGAUUAUGGACCACAAACAGACAGACAUCUAGACAGACAAACGGAUGCAAAGAGAGAUUUCUGUCAUUUCAACAAUUUUCUUAAUUCAAAGUGGUUGAAAAAGUUAAUAAAGUGAAUACACUUUACA